rnacentral:rRNA from 1 species
GGUUAAGUUAGAAAGGGCGCACGGUGGAUGCCUUGGCACUAGGAGCCGAAGAAGGACGGGACUAACACCGAUAUGCUUUGGGGAGCUGUACGUAAGCGUUGAUCCAGAGAUUUCCGAAUGGGGGAACCCACUAUCUUUAGUCGGAUAGUAUCCUUACGUGAAUACAUAGCGUGAGGAAGGCAGACCCAGGGAACUGAAACAUCUAAGUACCUGGAGGAAGAGAAAGAAAAAUCGAUUUCCUGAGUAGCGGCGAGCGAAACGGAAAGAGCCCAAACCAAGAAGCUUGCUUCUUGGGGUUGUAGGACACUCUAUACGGAGUUACAAAAGAAAGUUAUAAAUGAAGCGGUCUGGAAAGGCCCGCCAAAGACGGUAACAGCCCGGUAGUUGAAAUGGCUUUCCCUCCAGAGUGGAUCCUGAGUACGGCGGAACACGUGAAAUUCCGUCGGAAUCCGGGAGGACCAUCUCCCAAGGCUAAAUACUCCCUAGUGACCGAUAGUGAACCAGUACCGUGAGGGAAAGGUGAAAAGCACCCCGGAAGGGGAGUGAAACAGUUCCUGAAACCGUGUGCCUACAAGUAGUUAGAGCCCGUUAAUGGGUGAUAGCGUGCCUUUUGUAGAAUGAACCGGCGAGUUACGAUUUGUUGCAAGGUUAAGCGGAAAAAGCGGAGCCGUAGCGAAAGCGAGUCUGAAUAGGGCGCAUAAGUAACAGGUCGUAGACCCGAAACCAGGUGAUCUACCCAUGUCCAGGAUGAAGGUAAGGUAAUACUUACUGGAGGUCCGAACCCACGCACGUUGAAAAGUGCGGGGAUGAGGUGUGGGUAGCGGAGAAAUUCCAAUCGAACUUGGAGAUAGCUGGUUCUCUCCGAAAUAGCUUUAGGGCUAGCCUCGAGGUAAAGAGUCAUGGAGGUAGAGCACUGUUUGGACUAGGGGCCCUUCUCGGGUUACCGAAUUCAGAUAAACUCCGAAUGCCAUGUACUUAUACUCGGGAGUCAGACUGCGAGUGAUAAGAUCCGUAGUCGAAAGGGAAACAGCCCAGACCACCAGUUAAGGUCCCCAAAUAUAUGUUAAGUGGAAAAGGAUGUGGGGUUGCUUAGACAACCAGGAUGUUGGCUUAGAAGCAGCCACCAUUGAAAGAGUGCGUAAUAGCUCACUGGUCGAGUGACCCCGCGCCGAAAAUGUACCGGGGCUAAACAUAUUACCGAAACUGUGGAUGAACCUCUUUAGAGGUUCGUGGUAGGAGAGCGUUCUAAGGGCGGUGAAGUCAGACCGGAAGGACUGGUGGAGCGCUUAGAAGUGAGAAUGCCGGUAUGAGUAGCGAAAGAAGG